CAGUCGCCACGGUAAUACGGAGGGAGCUAGCGUUGUUCGGAAUUACUGGGCGUAAAGGGAGCGUAGGCGGAUCGUUUAGUCAGGGGUGAAAUCCCGGGGCUCAACCUCGGAACUGCCUUUGAUACUGGCGAUCUUGAGUAUGGGAGAGGUGUGUGGAACUCCGAGUGUAGAGGUGAAAUUCGUAGAUAUUCGGAAGAACACCAGUGGCGAAGGCGACACACUGGCCCAUUACUGACGCUGAGGCUCGAAAGCGUGGGGAGCAAACAGGAUUAGAUACCCCAGUAGUCCCUGUCUCUUAUAC
rnacentral:rRNA from 1 species